UGGGGAAUAUUGGACAAUGGGGGAAACCCUGAUCCAGCCAUGCCGCGUGUGUGAAGAAGGCCUUCGGGUUGUAAAGCACUUUCGGACGGAACGAAAUCGCACGGGUGAAUAUCCCGUGUGGAUGACGGUACCGUAAGAAGAAGCACCGGCUAACUACGUGCCAGCGGCCGCGGUAAUACGUAGGGUGCGAGCGUUAAUCGGAAUUACUGGGCGUAAAGUGUGCGCAGGCGGCUUCGCAAGUCGAGUGUGAAAUCCCCGGGCUUAACUUGGGAACGGCGCUCGAAACUACGGAGCUAGAGUAUGGCAGAGGGAGGUGGAAUUCCACGUGUAGCGGUGAAAUGCGUAGAGAUGUGGAGGAACACCAAUGGCGAAGGCAGCCUCCUGGGCCAAUACUGACGCUCAUGCACGAAAGCGUGGGGAGCAAACAGGAUUAGAUACCCUCGUAGUCCCUGAGCGGGCUGGCAAGGCGCAU
rnacentral:rRNA from 1 species